rnacentral:rRNA from 1 species
UGGGGAAUAUUGGACAAUGGGGGGAACCCUGAUCCAGCCAUGCCGCGUGUGUGAAGAAGGCCUUUUGGUUGUAAAGCACUUUAAGCGAGGAGGAGGCUACCUAGAUUAAUACUUUAGGAUAGUGGACGUUACUCGCAGAAUAAGCACCGGCUAACUCUGUGCCAGCAGCCGCGGUAAUACAGAGGGUGCGAGCGUUAAUCGGAUUUACUGGGCGUAAAGCGUGCGUAGGCGGCCAAUUAAGUCAAAUGUGAAAUCCCCGAGCUUAACUUGGGAAUUGCAUUCGAUACUGGUUGGCUAGAGUAUGGGAGAGGAUGGUAGAAUUCCAGGUGUAGCGGUGAAAUGCGUAGAGAUCUGGAGGAAUACCGAUGGCGAAGGCAGCCAUCUGGCCUAAUACUGACGCUGAGGUACGAAAGCAUGGGGAGCAAACA